UACGUAGGGUGCAAGCGUUAAUCGGAAUUACUGGGCGUAAAGCGUGCGCAGGCGGUGAUGUACGACAGGGGUGAAAUCCCCGGGCUUAACCUGGGAACUGCAUUUGUGACUGCAUCGCUGGAGUGCGGCAGAGGGGGAUGGAAUUCCGCGUGUAGCAGUGAAAUGCGUAGAUAUGCGGAGGAACACCGAUGGCGAAGGCAAUCCCCUGGGCCUGCACUGACGCUCAUGCACGAAAGCGUGGGGAGCAAACAGG
rnacentral:rRNA from 1 species